GGGAGGAGAGUGGUAGUAGUAUGGAGGUGGUGGGGAUGGUGAUGGAGGUGGUGGGGAUUUGUAGUAGUAUGGUGGUGGAGGCGAGUGGACUGGUGGGGGAGGAGAGUGGUAAUAGUACGGAGGUUGAGGAGAUGGUGACGGAGGUGGUGGGGACUUGUAAUAGUAUGGUGGUGGAGGUGAGUGGACAGGUGGGGGAGGAGAGUGGUAAUAAUAUGGCGGUGGAGGAGAUGGCGACGGAGGUGGUGGGGAUUUGUAGUAGUAGGGCGGGGGAGGAGAGUGGACUGGUGGUGGUGGGGAUUUGUAGUAGUAUGGAGGUGGAGGUGAGUAGACUGGUGGUGGUGGGGAUUUGUAGUAGUAUGGAGGUGGAGGUGAGUGGACUGGUGGUGGCGGGGAUUUGUAGUAGUAGGGUGGAGGAGGAGAGUGGACUGGAGGUGGCGGGGAUUUGUAGUAGUAUGGUGGUGGAGGCGAGUAGACUGGAGGGGAUGGUGACUUGUAGUAGUAAGGUGGCGGAGGUGAGUAAACGGGAGGAGUGGGUGAUUUAUAGUAGUAAGGUGGUGGAGGUGAGUAGACUGGUGGUGGAGGUGAUUUGUAAUAGUAUGGGGCAGGUAUGUGGACUGGCGGCGGUGGUGACUUGUAAUAGUAGGGAGGUGGAGGGGAUGGUGAAGGUG
rnacentral:lncRNA from 1 species